rnacentral:misc_RNA from 1 species
ACCUCUCAUUACAUCCCCUCUCUCUACUCUCAAAAAACAGCCUUAAGAAUAUCAUCUUCUCAAAUUGGACAGUUAAUUCAAAGACAGAAAGGUGGUGUUGUAGAGAGACAGAGCACAACUAGAGAUCAUAGAAAGAAAUGGCCUCAACUUCAGCUGUUUCAAUGGCCAUGCCAUUAACUUCUGCAAGCCAAAAGAGGGUUCUUCCAAGCUCAGAGGCCUUCUGCAAGCCAUUGCCUGUGAGGCCAUCUAAGGCUAUGAUGGCUUCAAAAUCCAAUGGAAGUUUUCAAGUCAAGGCUUCAUUGAAGGAGAAGGCAGUCACUGGGUUGACAGCAGCUGCACUCACUGCUUCCAUGGUGAUUCCGGAGGUGGCUGAAGCAGCUGGGCCUGGGGUUUCUCCAUCUCUCAAGAACUUCUUGCUCAGCAUUGUGGCUGGUGGGGUUGUGCUCGGUGUCCUUGUUGGUGCUGUGAUUGGAGUAGCCAAUUUCGACCCUGUCAAGCGUAGCUAAGGGAUGUAAAAAAAAUCUGAGAAUUCUGGGAAUUCAUGUUCCUCAUUGUGUUGUGUAUCUUUAUGAUGUUCCAGUGAUAAUCCGUCUUUAAGUCUGUUUGUCUUGUCCGUCUCUCCCUUAGCUGUAAUUUCACCAGUAACCUGUGAAUUCUGAAAUUUCAAUUUCCAAUAUGGCCCAACACAGAAACAAAACAUAAAUUUCCAGGAAUCGCUGGUGUAAGUUUCAUAAUUUUUCGCAGAAUUCGAUUUCUAUCCAAUCAAACAAUCGGAUUUGAUAUUCUAUUCUAUUCUGUUAUAUUCUAAAACCAUUUUGGUAAUAACGUUAUCAUAAAUUUCUUCAU